GAUAAGUAUUAAUAGUAAGGAAAAUCUUAAUUUAUUUUUUUUUUCAAACAGGUGCAGCAGAGAAACUAGAGGAAGUUCACUACCUCCGUUUGAUCACAUUGUGUGUGAGAACACAGUGUCAGCCAAAGUAUCUGCACUGAACCAUCCCGCAUUUUCAAUUACUUCAGCUUGGUUGUAGGCGGGAGAUGAGACUUCAGGAUCUGACAACACUCAGAGCCAAGGUUCAUAGACGCCAAAUCCUCUCAAUUGUUGGCAAGAAACAGAGGGCUGAGACUCCUGCCUCGAUGUCAUUGGAGGAAGACGCAUGCUGUUUUGCCCUUGACUUGAAAAUUCUGCAAACUUCAGAAUUGCCAGAUGUCAAUGGAUCAUUGUCUAGCAUUUUAGGAGGGAUAUGAGGAAGCCUAGAGCAACUCCAGGCUAUGACAGAUGCAGUGAAUGAAAUUGCUAUUCUCCACGAUGUGACCUAAUGAUCCUGGGAGGCUAAGAGAAAGUCAUACCAUACAUAUAAAAGCAGCUUUUGCCAGGACACAGGUGAGUGACUCUGCAUCUUCCAUUGACGAUUUUCAUCUUCAGAAAUGCUCAGAUUUCUGGGUACUAUC
rnacentral:lncRNA from 1 species